rnacentral:rRNA from 1 species
UACAGAGGGUGCAAGCGUUGUUCGGAUUCAUUGGGCGUAAAGGGUGCGUAGGCGGCGCGGUAAGUCGGGUGUGAAAUCUUGGAGCUUAACUCCGAAACUGCAUUCGAUACUGCCGUGCUUGAGGACUGGAGAGGAGACUGGAAUUUACGGUGUAGCGGUGAAAUGCGUAGAUAUCGUAAGGAAGACCAGUGGCGAAGGCGGGUCUCUGGACAGUUCCUGACGCUGAGGCACGAAGGUCAGGGGAGCAAACGGG